AUUAGUAGAAUUCCAUUUCCCUUCCUCAGUCAUCGGAGAGCUCUCUCUGGGCUUUCCAAAAAGGUAUCACAUGCCAAGUUUGGCCUCACGGUCUAAAAGUUAUAGAGUCAUACAUUUUUAACAAUACAAAAUAGAGAAAAACCGAAAAAAAAGAGGGAUGCAACACGAGGACUUUCCGGGAGGUAAUCCAUCCUAGUACUACUCUCGCCUAAGCACCCUUAACUGCGGAGUUCUAAUGGAAUCCAGUGCAUUAGUGCGGGUAUGAUCGCAUGUGUUACUACAUGCAAUGUAAUCGUAUCUAUUCUUUUUUAAAGACUUUAUGAUCCAUUUGCCGUGGGUCCCACCAGCUAUGUAGGAAUACACUAUCUUCUUUAUAAGAGCUUUGAUAGAGGCAAAAUAUUGGAAAAAAACGUCCGAACAUAUAAUUUUCCCCACGUAAUAUAGCAAAGAUCACGAAAAUGCCCCAAAAAGUACAUUUAGUUCAAAAUUUGGAGUAGAAAAAAAAACAAUAGAAGAAUUACAUUUUCCUUCCUCACUCAUCGGAGAGCUCUCUUUGGGCUUUCCGAAAAGGUAUCACAUGCCAAGUUUGGUCUCACGGUCUAAGAGUUAUAGAGUCAUACAUUUUUAACAAUACAAAAUAGAGAAAAACCGAAAAAAAGAGGGAUGCAACACGAAGACUUUCCGGGAGGUAAUCCAUCCUAGUACUACUCUUGCCCAAGCACCCUUAACUGUGGAGUUCUGAUGGAAUCUGGUGCAUUAGUGCUGAUAUGAUCGCAUGUGUUACUACAUGCAAUGUAAUCGUAUCUAUUCUUUUUUAAAGACUUUAUGAUCCAUUUGCCGUGGGUCCCACCAGCUAUGUAGGAAUACCCUAUCUUCUUUAUAAGAGCUUUGAUACAUGCAAAAUAUAUGAAAAAAACGUCCGAACAUAUAAUUUUCCCCCCGUAAUAUAGCAAAGAUCACGAAAAGGCUCGAAAAAUUACAUUUAGUUCAAAAGUCCCCCGUAUGAUGUCAUUUGUUACUACAUGCAAUGCAAUCAUAUCUAUUCUUAUUUAAAGACUUUAUGAUCCAUUUGUCGUGGGUCCCACCUGUAGGAAUACCCUAUCUUGUUUAUAAAAGAUUUGAUACAUGCAAAAUACUCGAAAACAAUGUCCGAACAUAUAAUUUUCACCCCGUAAUAUAGCAAAGAUCACGAAAAGGCCCGAAAAAGUACAUUAAAGUCAAAAUUUGGAGUAGAAAAAAACCC
rnacentral:sRNA from 1 species